rnacentral:rRNA from 1 species
AUUGAACGCUGGCGGCAUGCCUUACACAUGCAAGUCGAACGGUAACAGGUCUUCGGAUGCUGCCGAGUGGCGAACGGGUGAGUAAUACAUCGGAACGUGCCCGAUCGUGGGGGAUAACGGAGCGAAAGCUUUGCUAAUACCGCAUACGAUCUACGGAUGAAAGCAGGGGACCGCAAGGCCUUGCGCGGACGGAGCGGCCGAUGGCAGAUUAGGUAGUUGGUGGGAUAAAAGCUUACCAAGCCGACGAUCUGUAGCUGGUCUGAGAGGACGACCAGCCACACUGGGACUGAGACACGGCCCAGACUCCUACGGGAGGCAGCAGUGGGGAAUUUUGGACAAUGGGCGAAAGCCUGAUCCAGCCAUGCCGCGUGCAGGAUGAAGGCCUUCGGGUUGUAAACUGCUUUUGUACGGAACGAAAAGACUCUUUCUAAUAAAGAGGGUCCAUGACGGUACCGUAAGAAUAAGUACCGGCUAACUACGUG